rnacentral:lncRNA from 10 species
CUUUUUAAAAGCUUACUGAAUUUUCCUGGUGUGAAUUAUUUGCACGUACUCAUUUUUGUGGUUGAUUUGGAUUUUACAGUGAUUAAGAUUUUACGGUACCUGCUCCACCGGGCCCAGAUCCUGCUUCCCAGAUCUUCCUGGGAAGCACAAAACCCCUUCCUGGCCAGCAGGCUGUCUCACUAAUCCUGAGAUAGAGAUCACUAUUGUUGAUCUUCGUACCACCUUGCCAGUGCCUACUUAGCAUCUGACAUCAGAAGCAUCCCAUCAAAACCUGGUGAACAAAUUGAAAGAUAGAUGAUUCAGGACUAGAGAAACACGGAGAGAGAGGGUUUUGCUUGCUCUGUUGCCCAGGCUGGAGUGCAGUGGUGCCAUCAUAGCUCACUGCAGCCUCGAACUCCUGAACUCAAGAAAAUCUCCUGCCUCAACCUUCCGAAUAGCUGGGAUUACAGAGGCUGGGGAGAUAUAGGCCCCUUGCUCAUGGGGAGGGCGCACUGGGAUAAGGUUGAUCUGGAGCCAAAUAGCAAAGGAAGGGAAGUGGCAAGAAUGUGUGGAACGAUCACAAAGUUCACAUUUCCUCUUAUAAUCACACAACAAAAGGGCAACUCAUCAGAGUUUCUCACUGACCUCAGGGCCUUUAUCUUUAAAGAGAAAGAAGGAGAGAGAAAGAGAAGAAAAUUCAGAAACUAUAUACUUUUAUGAUAUCCACCAAGACUAUGACUUUGGACAGAUGAUCCAACACUAAUUUUCAAACUUUCAGCCAAAUUGUAUACAGUAUUGUGUAUAGCAUGUGAAGAUCUGAGAUAAAAUCCCAGUUCUAUCCACUCAUUGUGUGACUUAGGGAAAAUUACCUAACAUCCCUAAAUCUUGUUUUGUGUUCUGUAAAAUGAUCUCAUGUGAAUCUUAUGUAAAUUAAAUUUAAUAAUAUAUGUACAGCAUUUUCACAGUGUCUGGCAAAGAAGACAGACUCAAUAAAUGAUAAAG